UCAGGAGGAAUGCAGUUUUGAAUCAUUCGAAUCCUGCCCACAAGGAGCCUGCAUCCUAAUGGGGAGAGAAACGAGGGCACAAAUUGUAAUGUGCAGAGGAAAAUCACAAGGACCACAGAAGAAGGAGAGUUCAAGCAUUACUUAUCUUGCUACCUGGCAUAUGGUAGGUCCUCAAACCAUGAGAGCUGAUGUAUUUGUUGAACCUCUAAAAUUAAAACGAGAUAAGAUACUUUAAUGGUGGAAGAUGAUAGAGAGAAGUUCAAGAAGAAAGAUGACAGCAGAGAUGGAGGAAUGAAAUGCCGGCAGGAAGAGCCCCAUGAGAACAAAGAUUCAGAGGCAAGAAGACAGAGAGACACAGAAAGAAAAGUAUUGCCAAGGAAUGGGUUCUAACCCAAAUAACAGGAAGGAGACAGGAGAGAAGACAAGGCAAGGAGGAGGCUGGAAUAGACACAGGACAAACAAUGCAUAUGCUGUUUCACUGAGUCUAUGGAGAGAUUCCCCUGCCAAAAAAUAGAGGCAAUUUUUAUAGACCAUUUGUGCAACUCAUUCAUUCAUUCAUGUAUUCAACAGUCUUUGCUAAGCAUGAGAUUCAGAGCUGGAAUGUCAAAGGUAUGCGGGCAGAUGCAGUGCCCCUGUUCAAGUCACUUGGAGUCUAUAAAAUGGCACAGAUAUGGAACAACAGAAGCAAUAUUAAAACCUGAUAUUUGGGCUGGGCAUGUGGCUCAAGCGGUAGUGUGCUCUCCUGGAAUGUGCGGGGCACUGGGUUCGAUCCUCAACACCAC
rnacentral:lncRNA from 1 species